rnacentral:tRNA from 1 species
UCCCAGGUGGCUUAGUGGAUAAAGAAUCUGCCUGCAACGCAGACAACGCACGCAGACACGAGUUUGAUCCCUGGGAU